rnacentral:rRNA from 1 species
GAUGAACGCUGGCGGCGUGCCUAAUACAUGCAAGUCGAGCGAACAGACGAGGAGCUUGCUCCUCUGACGUUAGCGGCGGACGGGUGAGUAACACGUGGAUAACCUACCUAUAAGACUGGGAUAACUUCGGGAAACCGGAGCUAAUACCGGAUAAUAUAUUGAACCGCAUGGUUCAAUAGUGAAAGACGGUUUUGCUGUCACUUAUAGAUGGAUCCGCGCCGCAUUAGCUAGUUGGUAAGGUAACGGCUUACCAAGGCAACGAUGCGUAGCCGACCUGAGAGGGGGAUCGCCCACUAGGGAACGGAGCCGCGGGCAGGACUCCUACGGGAGGAAGGAGAGGGGAAUCCUCCGCAAGGGGAGAAGGCCUGACGGGGCAACGCCGCGUGAGGGAGGAAGGUCGCCGGAUCGUAAAACUCUGUUAGUGGGGAAGAAGAAAUGUGUAAGAAACGAGGCACGUCUAGACGGUACCUAAGCAGAAAGCCACGGAGACAUACG